rnacentral:lncRNA from 1 species
CGGUGUCUUUGGAUUUUUAAAUUAUUUUUGAGUGCCUGGUAACAUAUAUAUACCAUAAAAUUUGCUCUUUUAAUCAUUUUAAGUGUACAGUUACAUUUACAAGGUCGUGUUACUAUCAACACCAUCCAUUACCAAAACCUUUUUUCAUCGCCCAAAACAGAAACUCUGCACCCACUGCAUUUUAACUCCCCAUCCCCCCUGGUAACCUCUCAUCUACUUUCUGUUUCUGUGAAUUUGCUUGUUCUAGAUAUUUCGUGUAAGUGGAAUCGUUCAGUAUUUGUCCUUCUGUGUCUAGGCCCUUUCACUUAGCGAAAUGUCUCUGAGUUUUGUCCGUGUUGUCGCGGGGCUCAGAACGUCAUUCCUUUGCACGGCACAGUGCUGUUGGGAUGUGUUUCUGCUGCUGUUGAUCUUCUUGAGGACGCAGAGGAAAGGGCAGACUUCUCAGGUCCCGAGGAUUUCUUCUGGGGGGCAACCAUGGCCUGCCGCUCAGGUCAUUGACUCAUUGUCACUCAACUUAAAUUAAUAAAUACCUAGCGUGUGAAGAGCAAUGUUCUUGGCAUGAAGACAACCUAAAGACGAAAGGGAUGAGGGGCUUGCCAGAGCCCAAGGUGAAGUGCCAGGGGACUGAGAAGGGCACCCCAGCAUUUGCAGCACCCCUCCGACGCGUGGGCACCGAGGCAGGCGUGCAGAAUGAGACGGUGACGUGGGGGAAGGAGACACAAACCCAAGCGACAGCUCCGAGGGCCCGCGGGAGGCGGUGACCUACUGCCUCGACCAGGCUGGGGAAGUGUGCCAGCAAGUGGCAGAGGCGCUGGGUGCUGCAGGAUGAGCAGUUGGCCGGGUGAUAAAACCAGAAAGGGCAUUCGAAAUGGAGGAGCAGCUCAUGCCGAGGCCCAGCCACGUCGAGACACAGCGUGUUCAGGACACAGGCAGGCAACUCUUCGGAAUAACUGAAAUACAGUUGUUUUCGUUUUUCAGCACGGGACCUGAGUACGUGCUCAAUAAAAGUUGGCCAUUAGUGCU